rnacentral:rRNA from 1 species
UACGAAGGGGGCUAGCGUUGCUCGGAAUCACUGGGCGUAAAGGGUGCGUAGGCGGGGCUUUAAGUCAGGGGUGAAAUCCUGGAGCUCAACUCCAGAACUGCCUUUGAUACUGAAGAUCUUGAGUUCGGGAGAGGUGAGUGGAACUGCGAGUGUAGAGGUGAAAUUCGUAGAUAUUGGGAAGAACACCGGUGGCGAAGGCGGCCAUCUGGACCGCAACUGACGCUGAGGCGCGAAAGCGUGGGGAGCAAACAGG